AAAACACCGGUUCCUGUAUGAUCACCGAAGUUAAGUAACGUCGACGUUGGUCAGUACCUAGAUGGGUGACCGCUCGGAAAUACCAGGCACUGUAAG